GUAGGGUGCAAGCGUUAAUCGGAAUUACUGGGCGUAAAGCGUGCGCAGGCGGUUAUGCAAGACAGAUGUGAAAUCCCCGGGCUCAACCUGGGAACUGCAUUUGUGACUGCAUAGCUGGAGUGCGGCAGAGGGGGAUGGAAUUCCGCGUGUAGCAGUGAAAUGCGUAGAUAUGCGGAGGAACACCAAUGGCGAAGGCAAUCCCCUGGGCCUGCACUGACGCUCAUGCACGAAAGCGUGGGGAGCAAACAGGAUUAGAUACCCUGGUAGUCCACGCCCUAAACGAUGUCAACUGGUUGUUGGACGGCUUGCUGUUCAGUAACGAAGCUAACGCGUGAAGUUGACCGCCUGGGGAGUACGGCCGCAAGGUUG
rnacentral:rRNA from 1 species